rnacentral:lncRNA from 1 species
AUGGAAAGUGCCGUCGCAUCCCUCUUUGAUGACUUAAAAGUGUUGUGUGCCUUUUCCUCUUUCCAUCCAGCCCUCGCCCUUCCCCUUGCCGCUUUUCACGUUUCCAUAGCAACCACCUCUAUUGUAUCCGUGACUGUGAAGAGAAAUCUUGCAGAUGUUAGUAGAGAUCCAACACCUUCCAGCAGCUAUUUUGAUUCACAGUCUCCUUAUCUCUCGGCGCUGAUUUUCUUGUCCUUCCUUCCCCCUACAGCUGCUCGCUUCCCCCCCAAGUACCUGCAAGCCCUUCAGCGUGGCUCCCUCUGUCCUCCACGAGCCCGGCUCCCGCUCGCCUCCACCCCAGCCUCGUGGAAAGCUCGGGACCACACCCGCGCCUUUGAAUGUCUUCAUUCUGUGCAUUUCCCGCAGAGGGAUCAGCCACCUUUCCUUGCUGGUUCAGAGGACAGGGCAGACAUGGGAACACGCACACGCUCUCAUCGGGGCUUUGAAGACCCACGACACCUGAAUCCCCCACCUCCCCUCUCAGGGCCAGGCUCAGCUGGCCAUCUGGAAAGGCCAUCAGAAUGGGGCUUUAUCGUUCCCCUCCCGAAACUGUUUGAAGAGUUCAUAGCCUACAAUCCCUCCUUGGAACCGGGCAUUAUUCUCUUGAUUACACAAGCCUGACAGCCUGAUCAUAAUAAACAUGUAACUGAAGAGAACCUAUUCCUUUCC